GCAUCAGGUGGGAUGUGGGGUGGUUGCCAAAGUCGGAGCUGACAUAGCCAAUACGCAGACGACCUCCACU
rnacentral:miRNA from 10 species